AAAGAAUUAGUUAAAUUAACCUUAGUAUGUCAAACUAAAAUUAUUAGUAAAAAUCUAAUAUUCUUUG
rnacentral:tRNA from 1 species